CUACGGGAGGCAGCAGUGAGGAAUAUUGCACAAUGGGGGGAACCCUGAUGCAGCAACGCCGCGUGGAGGAUGACGCAUUUCGGUGUGUAAACUCCUUUUAUAUGUCAAGAAAAUGACGGUAGCAUAUGAAUAAGCACCGGCUAACUCCGUGCCAGCAGCCGCGGUAAUACUGAGGGUGCAAGCGUUACUCGGAAUCACUGGGCGUAAAGGACGCGUAGGCGGGCUUGUAAGUCAGGUGUGAAAUCCUACAGCUUAACUGUAGAACUGCACUUGAAACUACGAACCUAGAGUAUGGGAGGGGGAGAUGGAAUUAGUGGUGUAGGGGUAAAAUCCGUAGAUAUCACUAGGAAUACCUAAAGCGAAGGCGAUCUCCUGGAACAUAACUGACGCUAAGGCGUGAAAGCGUGGGGAGCAAACAGGAUUAGAUACCCGUGUAGUC
rnacentral:rRNA from 1 species